rnacentral:rRNA from 1 species
ACGGGUGAGUAAUACAUCGGAACGUAUCCUGGAGUGGGGGAUAGCCCGGCGAAAGCCGGAUUAAUACCGCAUACGCUCUGAGGAGGAAAGCGGGGGACCUUCGGGCCCCGCGCUCAAGGGGCGGCCGAUGGCGGAUUAGGUAGUUGGUGGGGUAAAGGCCUACCAAGCCGACGAUCCGUAGCUGGUCUGAGAGGACGACCAGCCACACUGGGACUGAGACACGGCCCAGACUCCUACGGGAGGCAGCAGUGGGGAAUUUUGGACAAUGGGGGCAACCCUGAUCCAGCAAUGCCGCGUGUGUGAAGAAGGCCUUCGGGUUGUAAAGCACUUUUGUCCGGAAAGAAAUCAUCGGGGCCAAUACCCCUGGUGGAUGACGGUACCGGAAGAAUAAGCACCGGCUAACUACGUGCCAGCAGCCGCGGUAAUACGUAGGGUGCGAGCGUUAAUCGGAAUUACUGGGCGUAAAGCGUGCGCAGGCGGUGCUGUAAGACCGAUGUGAAAUCCCCGGGCUUAACCUGGGAACUGCAUUGGUGACUGCAGCGCUGGAGUAUGGCAGAGGGGGGUGGAGUUCCACGU